UCCCUGGUGGCUCAGGUGGUAAAGAAUCUGCCUCCAAUGCAGGAGACCCAGGUUCAAUCCCUGGGUUGGGAA
rnacentral:tRNA from 1 species